GAGAGGUGAGAGGUACUCCAGGGGUAGGAGUGAAAUCCUGUAAUCCUUGGGGGACCACCUGUGGCGAAGGCGUCUCACUAGAACGGCUCCGACAGUGAGGGACGAAAGCUGGGGGAGCAAACCGGAUUAGAUACCCGGGUAGUCCCAGCUGUAAACGAUGCGCGUUAGGUGUAUCGGUGACCACGAGUCACUGAGGUGCCGAAGAGAAAUCGUGAAACGCG
rnacentral:rRNA from 1 species